AGCGAACGCUGGCGGCAGGCUUAACACAUGCAAGUCGAGCGGGCAUCUUCGGAUGUCAGCGGCAGACGGGUGAGUAACACGUGGGAACGUACCCUUCGGUUCGGAAUAACGCUGGGAAACUAGCGCUAAUACCGGAUACGCCCUUUUGGGGAAAGGUUUACUGCCGAAGGAUCGGCCCGCGUCUGAUUAGCUAGUUGGUGGGGUAACGGCCUACCAAGGCGACGAUCAGUAGCUGGUCUGAGAGGAUGAUCAGCCACACUGGGACUGAGACACGGCCCAGACUCCUACGGGAGGCAGCAGUGGGGAAUAUUGGACAAUGGGCGCAAGCCUGAUCCAGCCAUGCCGCGUGAGUGAUGAAGGCCUUAGGGUUGUAAAGCUCUU
rnacentral:rRNA from 1 species